CCUACGGGAGGCAGCAGUGGGGAAUAUUGGGCAAUGGGCGCAAGCCUGACCCAGCAACGCCGCGUGAAGGAAGAAGGCUUUCGGGUUGUAAACUUCUUUUGUCAGGGAAGAGUAGAAGACGGUACCUGACGAAUAAGCCACGGCUAACUACGUGCCAGCAGCCGCGGUAAUACGUAGGUGGCAAGCGUUGUCCGGAUUUACUGGGUGUAAAGGGCGUGUAGCCGGGUUGACAAGUCAGAUGUGAAAUCCUGCGGCUUAACCGCAGAACUGCAUUUGAAACUGUUGAUCUUGAGUACUGGAGAGGCAGACGGAAUUCCUAGUGUAGCGGUGAAAUGCGUAGAUAUUAGGAGGAACACCAGUGGCGAAGGCGACCUGCUGGACGACAACUGACGGUGAGGCGCGAAAGCGUGGGGAGCAAACAGGAUUAGAUACCCGUGUAGUC
rnacentral:rRNA from 1 species